CUGGAAGUAGCUCAGUUUGUGUAGAGUACUUGCGUUGGAUGCAAGGGGUCGCAGGUUCAAAUCCUGUCUUCCAGACCA
rnacentral:tRNA from 1 species